UACAGAGGGUGCAAGCGUUAUUCGGAAUUAUUGGGCGUAAAGAGCACGUAGGCGGUUUCGUAAGUCUGAUGUGAAAACCCUGGACUCAACUCAGGAAGUGCAUCGGAUACUGCGAGACUGGAGUACAGGAGAGGUGAGCGGAAUUCCAGGUGUAGAGGUGAAAUUCGUAGAUAUCUGGAGGAACAACAGUGGCGAAGGCGGCUCACUGGACUGUUACUGACGCUGAGGUGCGAAAGCGUGGGGAGCAAACAGG
rnacentral:rRNA from 1 species